UACAUGGGGUGCAACCGUUGCUCGGAUUUACUGGGCGUAAAGGGCGCGCAGGCGGCUGCUCAAGUCAGGCGUGAAAGGCCUGGGCUCAACCCGGGAAUUGCGCUUGAGACUGGGCUGGCUUGAGUGCGGGAGAGGAUGGUGGAAUUCCCAGUGUAGAGGUGAAAUUCGUAGAUAUUGGGAAGAACACCGGUGGCGAAGGCGGCCAUCUGGAUCGCAACUGACGCUGAGGCGCGAAAGCGUGGGGAGCAAACAGG
rnacentral:rRNA from 1 species